CAACCCUCAAGCCCUGCUUGGUGUUGGGCAACGCGGUCCGCCGCGUGCCUCAAAUCGACCGGCUGGGUCUUCUGUCCCCUAAGCGUUGUGGAAACUAUUCGCUAAAGGGUGCUCGGGAGGCUACGCCGUAAAACAACCCCAUUUCUAA
rnacentral:misc_RNA from 1 species